UACGUAGGUGGCAAGCGUUAUCCGGAAUCACUGGGCGUAAAGCGCACGCAGGCGGAUCGUUAAGUCAGGGGUGAAAUCCCGAGGCUCAACCUCGGAACUGCCUUUGAUACUGGCGAUCUUUGAGUCCGGGAGAGGUGAGUGGAACUCCGAGUGUAGAGGUGAAAUUCGUAGAUAUUCGGAAGAACACCAGUGGCGAAGGCGGCUCACUGGCCCGGUACUGACGCUCAUGUGCGAAAGCGUGGGGAGCAAACAGG
rnacentral:rRNA from 1 species